AGAUUGAACGCUAGCGGGAUGCUUUACACAUGCAAGUCGAACGGCAGCGCGGACUUCGGUCUGGCGGCGAGUGGCGAACGGGUGAGUAAUAUAUCGGAACGUGCCCAGUAGCGGGGGAUAACUACGCGAAAGCGUGGCUAAUACCGCAUACGCCCUACGGGGGAAAGGGGGGGAUUCUUCGGGACCUCUCACUAUUGGAGCGGCCGAUAUCAGAUUAGCUAGUUGGUGAGGUAAAGGCUCACCAAGGCGACGAUCUGUAGCUGGUUUGAGAGGACGACCAGCCACACUGGGACUGAGACACGGCCCAGACUCCGUACGGGAGCAGCAGUGGGAAUUUGGACAAGUGGGGAACCUGAUCCAGCCAUCCCGCGUGUGCGAUGAAGGCCUUGGUUGUAAGCUACGUUUGGACGAGGAAGAAACGGCGUGACCGUAAGUACGGACGUCACUGACGUAC
rnacentral:rRNA from 1 species